GAUGAACGCUGGCGGCGUGCCUAAUACAUGCAAGUCGAGCGAACGGACGAGAAGCUUGCUUCUCUGAUGUUAGCGGCGGACGGGUGAGUAACACGUGGAUAACCUACCUAUAAGACUGGGAUAACUUCGGGAAACCGUAGCUAAUACCGGAUAAUCUUUUGAACCGCAUGGUUCAAAAGUGAAAGACGGUCUUUCUGUCACUUAUAGAUGGAUCCGCGCUGCAUUAGCUAGUUGGUAAGGUAACGGCUUACCAAGGCAACGAUGCAUAGCCGACCUGAGAGGGUGAUCGGCCACACUGGAACUGAGACACGGUCCAGACUCCUACGAGAGGCAGCAGUAGGGAAUCUGACGCAAUGGGCGAAAGCCUGACGGAGCAACGCCGCGUGAGUGAUGAAGGUCUUCGGAUCGUAAAACUCUGUUAUUAGGGAAGAACAUAUGUGUAAGUAACUGUGCACAUCUUGACGGUACCUAAUCAGAAAGCCACGGCUAACUACGUG
rnacentral:rRNA from 1 species